rnacentral:ncRNA from 1 species
GCGACGCCCCGUGGCGGGGCGCCCGGACGAGCCCGCCGUACCCGGUCUGCGACAAGACGGUGGACG